GCUCCAUCUAUUAAUGAUUCAGCUAUAAUGGACCAGCCGCCUGCAUAUCCUACUGUUGUCGCUUCUGCUCCAUAUCUUAAUGCAUGUCAAAAAACUGCUGAAAUACAGUCUCACAUACAUCUCAGACUUAAUCGAAUGCAAGUAACUUUUACGUACUGCCGUCAAUUCAUUUAAUCAAGUUUGUUUAAUAAUUUUUAUAUUAAACUUUCUUAACAGUUUAAACGACUGCUGUAGUUAUAAUUCAAACACUCUUCGGGCUGAAUUCCAUGUUAGUAACUUCUCAUCCUGCUUUCUAUUCAUCUAAUUAAGUUUGUACUAAACUUUUUAUAUAAAUCUUUCCAUUAAGACUCGUCUAGGAACUAGCGUCCUCAUACGGAGAGUUAAGUAAGUGAGAUAGUAAAA